ACCCGUAUGAUGGAAUUGGUAGACAUGCAAGACUUAAAAUUUUGUCUCUCACGAGGUCCUGGUUCAAGUCCAGGUGCGGGUA
rnacentral:tRNA from 1 species